CCUACGGGCGGCAGCAGUGGGGAAUAUUGCGCAAUGGGCGAAAGCCUGACGCAGCGACGCCGCGUGAGGGAUGAAGGUCUUCGGAUCGUAAACCUCUGUCAGCAGGGAAGCACGGUCACUGUGCUAAUCAGCAGUGAAUUGACGGUACCUGCAAAGGAAGCACCGGCUAACUCCGUGCCAGCAGCCGCGGUAAUACGGAGGGUGCGAGCGUUAAUCGGAAUUACUGGGCGUAAAGCGCUCGUAGGCGGUAUGUCAAGUCAAGGGUGAAAUCCCCGCGCUCAACGUGGGAACUGCCUUUGAAACUGGCAAACUGGAGUGUGUGAGAGGAUAGUGGAAUUCCAGGUGUAGGAGUGAAAGCCGUAGAUAUCUGGAGGAACAUCAGUGGCGAAGGCGACUAUCUGGCACAUAACUGACGCUGAGGAGCGAAAGCGUGGGUAGCAAACAGGAUUAGAUACCCCAGUAGUC
rnacentral:rRNA from 1 species